rnacentral:rRNA from 1 species
AGUCUAGCCUGCUCACUGAUAGAAAUUAUUAAAUAGCCGCGGUAUUUUGACCGUGCAAAGGUAGCAUAAUCAUUAGUUUUUUAAUUGAAAACUUGUAUGAAUGGUUGGACAAAGAARAGACUGUCUCUUGUGUUAUAAUUGAAUUUAACUUUUAAGUGAAAAGGCUUAAAUAUUCUAGAGGGACGAUAAGACCCUAUAAAGCUUUAUAAAUUUGAAGAUUUUGUGUAUUUUUAUAUAAAAAUGAAUUUUGAAGAUUUUAUUUGGUUGGGGCGACAAUGGUAUAAUGAGAAUAACUGCUAUUAAAAUUAACAAUUAUAUUUGAAUUAUUAGUAAUUGAUCCUUUAUAAGGAUUUUAAGAUCAAGUUACUUUAGGGAUAACAGCGUUAUUUUUCUUGAGAGUUCUUAUCAAAGGAAAAGUUUGCGACCUCGAUGUUGAAUUAAAAUGUCUAUAUAGUGCAGCAGCUAUAAAAGAAGGUCUGUUCGACCUUUAAUAUUUUACAUGAUUUGAGUUCAGACCGGCGGGAGCCAGGUCGGUUUCUAUCUUCUAGAUAAUAAAUAGGUACCUUAGUACGAAAGGAUUGGGUAGUUAAAAUUUUUUUUGAAAAAAUUGAAAU